AUUGGUGGUGAGGAGUUUUUGUGUCUGAACUUGUCCAAAAAUCUCUGAAAUCAUAUGGACWGCUGCAGUUCUGCCAGUGGCUGACAACUGCUUUUAGUCUCUGAAAAGCUAGAUGGAAUUAAAAAUGAAAAUUUAGGGCUAAAAUUCUCUGAUAACACAUUACCAUUCCCCUAGUCCAACCAAUUUCCCAUGUAAGCAGGAAGCCUUAGGAGCUGUGUAUGAAGAAAAGUGAAACAUUCUGUAUUAGCCCUAAUGAAAAAUCUGUACAUCAUCACUGCAUUUUUAAAUGACUAAGAACACAGUAUUGUGCCAGUCAGCUUAAUGGAUAUUUAGUAAAUAUGAUUUAAAAGCAUCAGAUGAAGUGGAAAAGUCAAAAAAGAGGGUGAGGUCUGGGCAAGUCUAUGGACACCAUAGCGGUAAUAUUUCAGCUCCAUCUGCGACAGUUCUGCUGGUUUAGCUCAUUGUGGGGCUAACUGGUGAACCUGGAUCAGGGAAUUGGUCUAGGUUUAAAAGCAAUCCCUAUACCUUUUUCUUUUUUUCUAGAUUAUUUUUAACCGAGAUCACUUUUCUGAUUCAUUUCACUUUGACUCCAUAAAUCGGUAAGACUCUUCUCAACUGUAGGGCAGCACAGACAUCGGGAGGAAUUAUGAGCCGCUCAGGAUGGCACAACAAAAAAAGUUGUUAUCAAAUGAGAUUCUCCACCAAAGAAUCUGCUUCGCCAGCAGGAAUAAUCUAUUUUGCAGCAUUGAUUUCAGUUGCCACAGAAAUGUGGUUUCUUUCAAAUAACACAGGGUGUGAACCUGCAGAGGCAGCCUGUAAUCGUGGGGUUUCCUGGGCUGUUCUCUCUCAUGUCCUUGAAAGGCACAUUCUUCAGUAGCAAUCUUCCCUUUGCAUGGGCCAUGUCUUCGGACUACGCAAGGACCAUGCAAUCUUGUUUCCACUGAAAUCCAUUCCUUGCUAGAUGAGGGUACAUUGUUAGAUUGAAAGUGUGGGAAAUUCCUCUCGUGUCGCAGUGCAGACUGAAGCUAAAAAAAAAGAGCUUGGAGGCAUUCUGUUUAAUUGAUAAUGACUGCAACAAGCCAACUAACUAUUUGAACUAACUGUUCUCUUGCCUUCAAAGUGUAAUUUGUUUUAUGUACCAAACAAUAAACCACAAGAAUAAAAAUAACA
rnacentral:lncRNA from 1 species